UACUAGAGUAGCACUCGCAUAUCGAAUAAGCGGAGGAAAAGAAACUAACAAGGAUUCCCCUAGUAACGGCGAGUGAAGCGGGAAGAGCUCAAAUUUGAAAUCUUAAAGGGUUUCCCUUUACGAAUUGUAGUUUAAAGAAGUGUUUUCUGUUGAGGUUUGGUAAAAGUUCUUUGGAAUAGGACAUCAUAGAGGGUGAGAAUCCCGUAUUUGACCUUUACUUUCAACUUUGUGAUACACUUUCAAAGAGUCGGAUUGUUUGGGAAUGCAGUCCAAAAUGGGUGGUAAAUUUCAUCUAAAGCUAAAUAUUGGCGAGAGACCGAUAGCGAACAAGUACCGUGAGGGAAAGAUGAAAAGAACUUUGAAAAGAGAGUUAAACAGUACGUGAAAUUGUCAAAAGGGAAGCGUUUGACACCAGUGUUGUUUUUCUGAAAAUCAAUUAAAGAACUGUUUAUGCUAAGCUGUUUAGACUUUAUCAGCUAUACUGUUUAGUUUUGAGCUUUUCUUUAAUGCACUUUUCAGUUAACAAGUCAACAUCAAUUUCUUUUGCUGUAAAAAAGCUUGAGGAAGGUGGCUUGAGAUUCGUCUUAAGUGUUUAUAGCCUCUUGCCUAUGCAGUCGGAGAGAUUGAGGUCUGCAGCGUAGAUCCUUCGGGGCUAAAUGCAUUUGUGCUAAGUUAUAGCAUUUUAUAGACAACUUGUUGACUAUGAUUUGUCUUGUAGCUUACUCGCUUAUGUUAUUUUACCUACGCUUAGGAUGUUGAGCGCAUGUCUCUCUCU
rnacentral:rRNA from 1 species